AUUGUGGGACGAAACGUCUUCCACCCAUUCUCAAACUUUCAACGAGUGUGACGUCUCGCUUGCUUGAAUGAAGCAUAGACCUUGAAUGCGUGCUCCACGUGGACCAUUUUUGAAAAUCAGAAUGGCGACGCUGUGCGAAGGACCAAAAAUUGAGUUAAAUAUAAGUCUUCCGCUCAAGCGCCAUCCAUUUAAAUUAACUCAAUUUUUAUAUCCGCAUUAAAAGAUAUUUAUCAUCAAUUGACAAAAGUUUAACAAUAUUUUGCUAA
rnacentral:ncRNA from 1 species